AGCAGUCGCCGCGGUAAGACAGAGGAUGCAAGCGUUAUCCGGAAUGAUUGGGCGUAAAGCGUCUGUAGGUGGCUUUUCAAGUCCGCCAUCAAAUCCCAGGGCUCAACCCUGGAUAGGCGGUGGACACUACCAAGCUGGAGUACGGUAGGGGCAAAGGGAAUUUCCGGUGGAGCGGUGAAAUGCGUUGAGAUCGGGAAGAACACCAACGGCGAAAGAACUCUGCUGGUCCGACACUGACACUGACAGACGAAAGCUAGGGGAGCAAAUGGGAUUAGAUACCCGGGUAGUCCCUGUCUCUUAUAC
rnacentral:rRNA from 1 species